UCUUUUGUUAUUUUUCAUAAACUGCCCAGAACUGCAAAGGUGCAAAAGGAGUCUUUAAGCACAUUGCAACUUACUAGGAACAUCUCAUUUUUAUAUGCAUCAAAACUAUAAUAGAUAGUAAAGACAAAUAACACAUGAAUAAAGAGUGUUUGAUCAACCAAGGAUUUAUUUUACAUAUGAACUACAACAAGAUAUAUUUAAACAAUAAAGAAAUUUAGCUAAGCACUCAUUUAUUUAAAUGGACAUGCUCCGAACAAUCAAGAUGAGUUCUCUUGUUAAUGUGAAAAUAUCUGCAACAUAAGAUUAAAGAGUUACCUGAGUCGCAGAAUAAUAAAUACAGCAACGAAGAAUGGAAGCUCAACAACUAAAGCAGCAUAAAAAUAGCAGCACAACAGCAGCAAACCAGCAGCAAAAUCAUGUUAAAACAACUCGAAAACUCAGAGAAGAAACCCAGAAACAAACUCUAAAGAGGACUUAUACUUUUCAAAAAAAAGGUUUGCACUUUAAGAUUCACUCUUAAGACUUACAAUUUCAGCUUACUAAAGGAUGCUUCAACUGCUAAUUUUUUUUGUUUUUGUUUUUUGUAUGUUCAAAGCAGAAAUAAUAAUGCCCCCUUCUUCGAAGUGUGAUGGAGUCCCCUCUAUAUAUCAAAACAAACAGCUAUUUCAAAAAAUUAAAAAUCAAUCUUUUUGACAGAUUUUUCUACAAAAUCUGCUCUUAAAUUCAAAAAAGCAAGACUUUCUGGUUCAAAUCUUGUCAAGUAUUUCAAACAAAAUCUACUCUCCACUAUUCAAAGAUAGACUUUUAUUCAAACAAUGUCCAAAGGUCUACAUUUACUUAUCAAACAAUUUAACUUUUGAGUAUUGUAUUCAAAGAGUCUUGAAGUAGUAAACAAACAACCAAACAAGUACCAUAUACUCUUAAGUAUUUUUCACUACAUCACUUUUAUCAAUCCAAAACUAUUUUACUACUUCAACAAGUGCAAAAACAGAAAAUUUAACAUUUCAAACUUCAAAAACUAAUGCUAAAAUAAUUAAUAAUAAACAAAAAUAAAAUCUGAAAAAAAUAAAAAUAAAAUAAAAAAUCAGCCACGAAAAAUAAUAGGAUUUUUACCAUUUUAUAAUUCAAGUGGCCGAAAAAAUGGUGGUAUGCCAAAAGAGGGUGUUCGGGGAGGUCGCCGGAAUUUGGCCGUAUUUUGAUCGCCGGAUUUUCAGGGUGAAAUUGGCAUCAAUAGUUAGGUCUUUAGGGGCUCUAUCCAUUGAUGUAAGUAUUGUGGGGUGGUCGUGGUUGGAGCUUCAAGAAUUUGGGCAAAAAAAUGACGAGAAAAUUUCUUAGAUCUAAGAUUCAAGGAGUUUGAGGGAUUUUUGAAGGAUUUGGUUUGGAGAUAUGGAAGAAGUUGUGGAGAUUACAUGGUGUGAAUUUGGAGGUGUUUGGAGGUGGUCCGCCGGCGGCGGUGGGCGGAACUGGGGCGACGUAGAGAGAGUGAAGAGAGAGAGAAGAGAAAAGAAGGAGAAAAGAAUUAUGGGUGAAAAUGAGGACAAUUUUCAGAUUUUUGAGGCUUUAAAUACCUAAGUCAAGAGUGAAUAAGAUCCAUUGGAUCAAGAUGGAAUGGAUGGGUAUGAUUUGAUCUUGUUUCAUUAGUGAAACGACGUAGUUUUGAGGCAAAACUAUGUAGUUUCAGACCCUUUCAAUGGCAGCCCUUUAUCUUGCACUCUUGGACACUUUUUCUUUCAAAUUUGGCCAAAUUUCUUCCUUAAUCCUACUUAUUAAACUAAUUUUACACAAAUAAAUUAAUUAAAUAACUUAUUCUAAUGAUCAAUUAACUAUAUUAAUUUAUCAACUGAACAACUAGUUAAUCCUUAAAAUGUACAAAUGAAGAAAGAACUAUUUUUUUUUGUAUUUUAUGAUAGGAAAUAUGCAAUUAAAGUCACAAAAAUUGAGAAAAAUAAUUAAAAUAACAAAACACUAAUAACUUUAGGAGGUGUUAAAAUAGUGCAAAAAUUAGGUGUUCACAGUAAUUAGUUAUACUACUAUUG
rnacentral:lncRNA from 1 species